ACAGUUGGAAACGACUGCUAAUACCGCAUAACGUAUCGGGAUGGCAUCUUCCUGAUACCAAAGAUUUUAUCGCUUAGAGAUGGGCUCGCGUCUGAUUAGAUAGUUGGCGGGGUAACGGCCCACCAAGUCGACGAUCAGUAGCCGGACUGAGAGGUUGAACGGCCACAUUGGGACUGAGACACGGCCCAGACUCCUACGGGAGGCAGCAGUGGGGGAUAUUGGACAAUGGGGGCAACCCUGAUCCAGCGACGCCGCGUGAGGGAAGAAGGUUUUCGGAUUGUAAACCUCUGUUGACGGAGAAAAAAAUGAUGGUAUCCGUUUAGAAAGCCACGGCUAACUACGUGCCAGCAGCCGCGG
rnacentral:rRNA from 1 species